CAGCAGCCGCGGUAAAACAGAGGAUGCAAGCGUUAUCCGGAAUGAUUGGGCGUAAAGCGUCUGUAGGUGGCUUUUCAAGUCCACCGUCAAAUCCCAGGGCUCAACCCUGGACAAGCGGUGGAAACUACCAAGCUGGAGUACGGUAGGGGUAGAGGGAAUUUCCAGUGGAGCGGUGAAAUGCGUUGAGAUCGGAAAGAACACCAACGGCGAAAGCACUCUGCUGGGCCGACACUGACACUGAGAGACGAAAGCUAGGGGAGCAAAUGGGAUUAGAUACCCGCGUAGUCCCUGUCUCUUAUAC
rnacentral:rRNA from 1 species